GGAGAGUGAGGCCAGGCUUUUUCUGGGUCGGAGAACUGGAGUUCUGCCUGGAUUUUGGAAAGCUUGAUGGAAUCUAUCUAUCACCCAGACUGGAGUGCAGUGGUGCAAUCUCGGCUCACUGCAACCUCCGCCUCCCGAGUUCAAGUGAUCCUCCUGCUUCAGCCUCCUGAGUAGCUGGGAUUACAGGGACGGUGGUGUCUGCUGUUCCGGGAUUGAGAGAGAUGAAGCACUUACUCACCUCAGUGACUGGUGUGCGCAGCCACUCCCUAGCCGGCUUCUUCCAUGGCAGGACCUGCAAAUGCUGGACUCACAGAAGGCUCUGAGAAGUAAAUAACAGAUGGAGUUUUACUUUUGCUGCCCAGGCUGGAGUACGAUGGUGCGAUCUCAGCUCACUGCAACCUCCGCCUCCUGGAUUCAAGCGAUUCUCCUGCCUCAGCCUCCCGAGUAGUUGGGGCCUGGCUAAUAUAUAUAUAUAUUUUUUAGUAGAGACGGGGUUUCUCCAUGUUGGUCAGGGUGGUCUCAAACUCUGACCUCAGGUGAUCCACCCGCCUCGGCCUCCCAAAGUGCUGGGAUUACAGGCAUGAGCCACCACAGCCGGCCCAAAUAUUACAUUUAAAAGCAAAAAUAAAAACAAACCCACGAGUGCC
rnacentral:lncRNA from 10 species